UCGGGUGCACAUGCUUCAUGAUGGUCUGGA
rnacentral:piRNA from 1 species